AUUGAACGCUGGCGGCAGGCCUAACACAUGCAAGUCGAGCGGGAACUUCGGUUCUAGCGGCGGACGGGUGAGUAAUGCGUAGGAAGCUACCCGACAGAGGGGGAUACCAGUUGGAAACGACUGUUAAUACCGCAUAAUGUCUACGGACCAAAGUGUGGGACCUUCGGGCCACAUGCUGUCGGAUGCGCCUACGUGGGAUUAGCUAGUUGGUGAGGUAAUGGCUCACCAAGGCGACGAUCCCUAGCUGGUUUGAGAGGAUGAUCAGCCACACUGGAACUGAGACACGGUCCAGAGUCCUACGGGAGGCAGCAGUAGGGAAGAUUGGACAAUGGGCGAAAGCCUGAUCCAGCCAUGCCGCGUGUGUGAAGAAGGCCUUCGGGUUGUAAAGCACUUUCAGUAGGGAGGAAGAGUUGAGUGUUAAUAGUACUCAGCUUUGACGUUACCUACAGAAGAAGCACCGGCUAACUCUGUGCCAGCCGCCGCCGCGGUAA
rnacentral:rRNA from 1 species